rnacentral:ncRNA from 1 species
UUAAUUUGCAGGUAGGGCAACCUAUACUGCGUACUCGUGGAAACCGAAUUAGCGUUUAAGCGACUUGUAAAGUUGCCGGACAUGAGGAAGGGCUAUCGCAUUUGUGGUAGUCCUUUUUAUUUUGAG